UUGUGCUAAUUCUUUCCUCUCAGAAAUAUGUUCUUGGGUGAUCAAUCAAGCUGAACAUACAGAUGCCAUGAAGUCAUGAUAAUCAAGUUGGAAGGCACCUCAGGAGCACACACAGACGUGAGCUGCUGCUGCUGCUGCUUCAUUACUGCUGGGAAGCUGGACUGAAAAAUCUGGGAGUCACACAGAGGUCUGCAUGAACUGACUUAGCCUAUCUAUUUCCUUCUGGAUCUAUUUUAUUUACAUAUAUGAAAGUGAAUGGAUCAUCUCAAU
rnacentral:lncRNA from 1 species